GACGAACCGAGCGAACGUUGUUCGGAAUCACUGGGCUUAAAGGGCGCGUAGGCGGGUGCUCAAGUCCGUGGUGAAAUCCUCCGGCUCAACCGGAGAACUGCCUCGGAUACUGGGCGCCUCGAGGUGGUAGGGGUGAUGCGGAACUAUCGGUGGAGCGGUGAAAUGCGUUGAUAUCGAUAGGAACUCCGGUGGCGAAGGCGGCAUACUGGACCACCUCUGACGCUGAGGCGCGAAAGCCAGGGGAGCAAACGGG
rnacentral:rRNA from 1 species